rnacentral:rRNA from 1 species
CGAAUGAACGAACGGAGAGAUUCAUCGUCAUUCGGCGGCGUACGGGCGCGCGCCUCGAUGCGAGCCGAGAUCGUUCACGCGACUCGGAGCGCACGGGACGCGUCCGUGUCGACGUCUCGCCGACGACGUGCACUUCUCUCUCAGUAAUGCAUCGCGACCCGUUCGAGGUCGGUCUAAGCGCCGACUGCGGGAGUCCGGCGGCGUUGGCCUCGGUCAACGCCGCCGUACCGCGUCCGGUUGCCGACCGGCCGUCGUGUUUUUAUACACUACGGACGGUAUAAUGAUGGAAAUUAAUACGCUUUCGAAGCGAAUCGCGCACGCGUUUCACGCGCGUCCGGCCCGACGCAAGCCUACGUUCGAUUUCGAUGUCCUGCCCGAGCGCGGACGUCGGCUCGGCGUUGCUGUACAUAUGUCGCUGCCGUGCAGUCUCGGACUGUGCGCGUCUCCGUCUGCGAUGAUUCCGUUUCGGGCACUCGCAGGACCCGUCUUGAAACACGGACCAAGGAGUCUAGCAUGUGUGCGAGUCAUUGAGUUCAACAUUUCAAUUGACAAAACUGAAAGGCGCAACGAAAGUGAAGGCGUGCGCUCACCGCGCGCGCUCAGGGAGGAUGGAGCCUCGGUCUCGAUCGAACUCUCGCACUCCCGAGGCGUCUCGUUUCCAAUCAGUGAAUGCAGGCGCGCUCUGAGCACAGAUGCUGGGACCCGAAAGAUGGUGAACUAUGCCUGGUCAGGUCGAAGUCAGGGGAAACCCUGAUGGAGGACCG